rnacentral:rRNA from 1 species
GGGGUGACUGCGUACCUUUUGUAUAAUGGGUCAGCGACUUAUAUUCUGUAGCAAGGUUAACCGAAUAGGGGAGCCGGAGGGAAACCGAGUCUUAAUUGGGCGUUAAGUUGCAGGGUAUAGACCCGAAACCCGGUGAUCUAGCCAUGGGCAGGUUGAAGGUUGGGUAACACUAACUGGAGGACCGAACCGACUAAUGUUGAAAAAUUAGCGGAUGACCUGUGGCUGGGGGUGAAAGGCCAAUCAAACCGGGAGAUAGCUGGUUCUCCCCGAAAGCUAUUUAGGUAGCGCCUCGUGAAUUCAUCUCCGGGGGUAGAGCACUGUUUCGGCUAGGGGGCCAUCCCGGCUUACCAACCCGAUGCAAACUGCGAAUACCGGAGAAUGUUAUCACGGGAGACACACGGCGGGUGCUAACGUCCGUCGUGAAGAGGGAAACAACCCAGACCGCCAGCUAAGGUCCCAAAGUCAUGGUUAAGUGGGAAACGAUGUGGGAAGGCCCAGACAGCCAGGAUGUUGGCUUAGAAGCAGCCAUCAUUUAAAGAAAGCGUAAUAGCUCACUGGUCGAGUCGGCCUGCGCGGAAGAUGUAACGGGGCUAAACCAU